UGGGGUUGUUUCAGGCAUUUCUUUGUCUGUAGAGUCAUAUUUUCUUGGGGCCACGGGAGGCCUCUACCUCAGCUACCUUCAACUGUUUGAAAAUCAAGCAUCUCAUCUGGCCAAGCCAAGGAAUCCAGCCAUCUGGCUCACCCUGGGGUAGGCAUCAAAGCACUUCCUGAGGGUGAACCAUCCUCACCCUACUGCUGCGAUUUUCCCUUUGUGACACAAAAAAGUCAGGAAAACUUGCUGUGGCUGGGUGCCUGGCUAUCAGCAGGGAUAGUUAAAUGAGAUAUGCUUCACCACAUGAAUCACUCUAUAGCUACAUAUAUAUCUGCUAUAAACACUAACAAAAAUGUUGCCUCCCUUUUUUUAAAUUCAGUUUGUCAUAAAAGUGUUGUUUUAAAAUGCUACAAUUCUGUUUUGAUUCAGGCUGAGAAUUAAUGUCUUGGACCAAUGAAAAAGGAUUUUCCCAACCAUCUUCUGACAUAAACCAGAACUUCUGGUGUGAAAUGAGGCCUUCAUCCAGUCAUGAUCCAGAUCUCCGACAGUGAAAGCAAGAUCUUGCUCAAAGACCAAAAGUUCCAAAGAAGGAGGAGGGAGGAAUUUAUAAGCUUUCAAUUUAUGAAGAAAAUUUAUAAAAAAGAACAUGAAAUGGAUUUAGGUAUCUUUUCACAAUUCUAAUAAAAAAAGUCAUGAAGCUUGUGAAACUCUGGAAGACAUAUACUACAAAAUCAUCAUUUAGAGGUAUGACCUCCUCUCCCACUUUACAUAACUUUAACAGGAAUCAAAUACAAACCAUGAUAAAGAAAUAGAUGUAUAGAUGUAUCAGUUUGGAGUCUUUUUAAAGACAUUUUCCUGGAUUAUAAUUUUUUUUUCCUGACAUUUUCAGUUAUCAUAAUGUGUUAAAUAUAUUAGUUCUUACUUGAGGAAAAAAAAUAGAUUUUUGCCUGCAUUUGCUUCUCUUCCUUGUCAUUAGCACAAAAUGUAUUUCCCAUUGUAAACAAGAAAGAUACACUGUACCGUGAUCGUUCUGGAUGUUCUGGAUAGUUACAGUAAGAAAGCUUUACUUACUGAAUUGGUCUUGGAAACAUCUGGGGUUAUCAAUAAUAACUGAAAACAUAAUCAGGAAAAAAAAAAAGAGGUGUCUCACAAAGACUUGCCAGAAGGUUCUGUAGAUCUGUAUAGAAU
rnacentral:lncRNA from 1 species